rnacentral:miRNA from 1 species
UAAUACUGCCGGGUAACGACGGA